rnacentral:tRNA from 1 species
GCGGAUGUAGCUCAGGGGUAGAGCAUUUGCUUGCCAAGCAAAAGGUCACGGGUUCGAUUCCCGUUUUCCGCU